UACGAAGGGGGCGAGCGUUGUUCGGAAUUACUGGGCGUAAAGCGCACGCAGGUGGCUGAGUCAGUCGAUUGUGAAAGCCCUGGGCUUAACCUGGGAAUUGCAGUCGAUACUACUCGGCUCGAGUAUGGGAGAGGGCAGUGGAAUUCCCGGUGUAGCGGUGAAAUGCGUAGAUAUCGGGAGGAACAUCAGUGGCGAAGGCGGCUGCCUGGCCCAAUACUGACACUCAGGUGCGACAGCGUGGGGAGCAAACAGG
rnacentral:rRNA from 1 species